AGCCAUGAAGUUUCUAAUGGUCUAUGACGUCAGACUUCUAAAAUUCUUUAGUAUCUGGAGGUUGCGGGUUCGAGUCCCGCCGGGGGUU